ensembl:lncRNA novel transcript
UAAUUCUAAUUUCACUGUUAUAAAUGGUAUGUGGGCUGAAGAUAGGGCUUCUGUAUUUUCUGACUCCCUUCUCUGUGAUUUGUUUUGUGACUUGUCCUUUGGAGGGUGAAGAAGUGAGACCCUACAUGGCUUUUUAGUGCAUUGAUGGAGCAGAGACACGUCUAUGAACAACUGCCUAUGCAAACUGAUUACUCGGCAGUAUAAUUUAUCAGUUUGUAUGAGUAAGUGAGUGCUUCUCACUAUGGAUUUAGCUUGCACUUCAAUUUAGUUGUCCCCUUGGAACCUGUAAACACUUUGGCAUAAAGAUCUGACAGAUUCAGCUUCUCCAUAAAUGAAUUUCUUUUCGGCUUAUCUCUGGUUCCAUUAUCUUGCUUUGGAUUUAUGGAAAUUCUGAACAGUGAUGUGAGAGUGACUACAGUUUGAAGUAUCUGUUAAAUACAGCAACAUGACAUCACAAGGAUUGUUUUGGAGUCUUCUGGAUAUGAGAACAUUAUAAAAGGUGUGGGGGUUUCCAGGAGACUUGAGAAUGACUCCAGGACUCAUAGUUCUCCUGGAACAUGGUUUU